CCUGGCUCAGGAUGAACGCUAGCGGCAGGCCUAACACAUGCAAGUCGUGGGGCAGCACGGGUAGCAAUACCUGGUGGCGACCGGCGCACGGGUGCGUAACGCGUAUGCAACCUGCCCCCAUCAGGGGAAUAGCCCGCCGAAAGGCGGAUUAAUGCCCCAUAGGCCCAGGGCGCCGCAUGGCGCUAUGGGUAAAGCUCCGGCGGAUGGGGAUGGGCAUGCGUGCCAUUAGCUAGUGGGCGGUAACGGCGCACCAAGGCGACGAUGGCUAGGGGGUCUGAGAGGAUGGUCCCCCACACUGGUACUGAGACACGGACCAGACUCCUACGGGAGGCAGCAGUGAGGAAUAUUGGUCAAUGGGCGGAAGCCUGAACCAGCCAUGCCGCGUGCAGGAUGACGGCCCUACGGGUUGUAAACUGCUUUUCCCCGGGAAGAAUAAGCCCCUCGUGGAGGGGUGAUGCCGGUACCGGGGGAAUAAGGAUCGGCUAACUCCGUGCCAGCAGCGGC
rnacentral:rRNA from 1 species